rnacentral:lncRNA from 1 species
GCCAAUUUUGAUCAAAGUAUCAUUGAAUUGGUACAGAGAGAAGAUUGAUUCAGUUUUGCCUUGUAAAAAUAACGUUCCGAUGCCUUCUGUGGGAAUGAGAAGGACUACCAGGGUUUUCGGAGCGAGGGUGUUGAGAUCAGGAAGGCGUCUAUGGACAGGGACAGGGACAGGAGAUGGGAAGUACACGAAGAGUGCCAAUGGGGACGAGUGGAUUGAGCUUCUUGAAAAUUCUGGGGAUGGUGGAGGUGGUGCCAAUCAACGCAAAGAACGUGGCAGGCAUGGAAACGAGGCUGCUGCUAAGCAGGAAGUCAGGGGAAUGGAUGUUGACGUAAAAGUAGUGAAAUCUGCUCCAGAGAAAGUUUUGCAUGAGGGUUUGGAUGCAGAGAACCAUGUUGGCAAGAGGUGGGGAGUUGUAUAUACAAGAAAGCGGAAGUGUGUAGAUUCUAGUCUUGUUGAAUCUUCAGAUAAUGGUAAUAAGAAAAGGAGCAUAGAUGACAAGAGGUAUGGGAGGCAGUUUUUUAGAAAGCAGUGGAGGAAGAAAAACAUACAGACGGAGUUGGCUGAACCAGGUGAUUCAAAUAUGGCUUUGAUGGCACUAGAAGAAUCACUAGAUAAUGCCAGAUGUCAUUUCCUUUUGGUAGUUUUUGACUCUUCCUGUUGUAGCUGGUAUAUGGCUGCAUCUUUUCUGAAUUCUAUUUUGAGGUAUAUGAGGCAGGCAAGAGUUGGUAUCCAGCAGCUAUUUGCAUUCCUUCACUCCAAGGCAAUUGCGCUUGUAUACUCUUCUUGUGGCAUCCAUUUUCUGCAGGUAAUGUAGUAUUUCCUGUUUUGCCGUUUCUCAGGUACUUGAUUUGGCUAAAUUCGUUCUUGCUGCAAAUCUCAGAAUUUCUUUACCCUUUUCAUUUUCUCAGGGCUCUAAUGUAGUUGCCGAGCGUGGAGUUUGCGUGAUAUGGGGUACCAGUUGUUUGGUACCGGUUUUUGCUGUGGAUUAUUCUGCAGUUCCUCAUUGUUUUAUGUAUUUGCAUUCAAGAAUGCUACUCCAUUUUGCUCAUCUGAUGUAUUCUGUUGAACGAUGGUUAGUGGGUAUAGAUGAUAAAAAUGAUAAUUUAUCAAAACUGUCCAUGCUUACUGAAAGCGUCCAAACUUCUGAUUACUCUGGGAAGACGGAGGUGUCAGUGUCAGUGUCAAAUGUUGCUCCUACUAAAUUAACUGGUCGAAACCUGCAACUGAGGAAUGGUCGUAACAUUCAGAGAAGUUCAUUUAGAUCAAAGAGGGGCAGACGGCCUUCCUCUUUUGGUGCCCGAAAAGCUAAUGGAGCUUUGGCUUCUAAUCUACUUAGCUUUAGACAUAAUAGCAAUCAACUUUCCCCAAUAACACCGAGACAUGAGCUUAGGAGUUCGACUGUCAGGCAUUCUGUCACAAAUAUCAAACAAGUCAAGUCUUCCCUGGGGGGAUUGAAACAGGAUAUUGAUCCCACUAGCUGUUUUGCAAAUAUACUGGUUAUAGACUCUGACAAGUGUUAUAGGGAAGGAGGAGCUAUUGUCACAUUAGAAGUUUCUGCUGAAAAACAGUGGCAUCUUGCAAUAAAGAGAGAUGGAGUGAAGAGGUACAGUAUCAUCACUCAAAGUCUUAUGAGAGCAUGUAAUUGUAAUCGCUUCACUCAUGCCAUGAUGUGGGGUAUGGAUAGUGGUUGGAAGCUAGAGUUCACUGAUAAGCAGAACUGGUCGAUUUUCAGAGACCUGUACAAGAAGUGUUCAGAUCGCAAUGCACGGGUUCCUGUGGAGAGUUUCAUUCCUGUUCCUGGGGUGCAUGAAGUGUCUGGUUAUGUGAACAGCGGCAAUUAUGUAAGGCCUGCUACAUAUAUAAGUGUAAAAGAUGAUGAACUGAGUAGGGCGUUAGCAAGGAGAACAGCAAACUAUGAUAUGGACUCUGAUGAUGAGCAGUGGCUAAAUAAGAAUGAGUUUCAUAAACUUUUGUCUGCAGAGGAGUUUGAGUUGGUAAUUGAUGCUUUUG